UCGGCUCAUCACAUCCUGGGGCUGUAGUAGGUCCCAAGGGUUGGGCUGUUCGCCCAUUAAAGUGGUACGCGAGCUGGGUUCAGAACGUCGUGAGACAGUUCGGUCCCUAUCCGUCGCAGGCGUAGGAAAUUUGAGAAGACCUGUCCUUAGUACGAGAGGACCGGGAUGGACGUACCUCUGGUGUACCAGUUGUUCUGCCAAGGGCAUGGCUGGGUAGCUAUGUACGGAAUGGAUAAGCGCUGAAAGCAUCUAAGCGCGAAGCCAACUUCAAGAUAAGAUUUCCCACCGCAAGGGUAAGACCCCAGAAAGACUAUCUGGUUGAUAGGUCGAAGGUGUAAGUGCAGCAAUGUAUUUAGCUUAUCGAUACUAAUAGGUCGAGGACUUGACCAAAUU
rnacentral:rRNA from 1 species